rnacentral:rRNA from 1 species
GGUUAAGCGACUAAGCGUACACGGUGGAUGCCCUGGCAGUCAGAGGCGAUGAAGGACGUGCUAAUCUGCGAUAAGCGUCGGUAAGGUGAUAUGAACCGUUAUAACCGGCGAUUUCCGAAUGGGGAAACCCAGUGUGUUUCGACACACUAUCAUUAACUGAAUCCAUAGGUUAAUGAGGCGAACCGGGGGAACUGAAACAUCUAAGUACCCCGAGGAAAAGAAAUCAACCGAGAUUCCCCCAGUAGCGGCGAGCGAACGGGGAGCAGCCCAGAGCCUGAAUCAGUGUGUGUGUUAGUGGAAGCGUCUGGAAAGGCGCGCGAUACAGGGUGACAGCCCCGUACACAAAAAUGCACAUGCUGUGAGCUCGAUGAGUAGGGCGGGACACGUGGUAUCCUGUCUGAAUAUGGGGGGACCAUCCUCCAAGGCUAAAUACUCCUGACUGACCGAUAGUGAACCAGUACCGUGAGGGAAAGGCGAAAAGAACCCCGGCGAGGGGAGUGAAAAAGAACCUGAAACCGUGUACGUACAAGCAGUGGGAGCACGCUUAGGCGUGUGACUGCGUACCUUUUGUAUAAUGGGUCAGCGACUUAUAUUCUGUAGCAAGGUUAACCGAAUAGGGGAGCCGAAGGGAAACCGAGUCUUAACUGGGCGUUAAGUUGCAGGGUAUAGACCCGAAACCCGGUGAUCUAGCCAUGGGCAGGUUGAAGGUUGGGUAACACUAACUGGAGGACCGAACCGACUAAUGUUGAAAAAUUAGCGGAUGACUUGUGGCUGGGGGUGAAAGGCCAAUCAAACCGGGAGAUAGCUGGUUCUCCCCGAAAGCUAUUUAGGUAGCGCCUCGUGAAUUCAUCUCCGGGGGUAGAGCACUGUUUCGGCAAGGGGGUCAUCCCGACUUACCAACCCGAUGCAAACUGCGAAUACCGGAGAAUGUUAUCACGGGAGACACACGGCGGGUGCUAACGUCCGUCGUGAAGAGGGAAACAACCCAGACCGCCAGCUAAGGUCCCAAAGUCAUGGUUAAGUGGGAAACGAUGUGGGAAGGCCCAGACAGCCAGGAUGUUGGCUUAGAAGCAGCCAUCAUUUAAAGAAAGCGUAAUAGCUCACUGGUCGAGUCGGCCUGCGCGGAAGAUGUAACGGGGCUAAACCAUGCACCGAAGCUGCGGCAGCGACACUAUGUGUUGUUGGGUAGGGGAGCGUUCUGUAAGCCUGUGAAGGUGUGCUGUGAGGCAUGCUGGAGGUAUCAGAAGUGCGAAUGCUGACAUAAGUAACGAUAAAGCGGGUGAAAAGCCCGCUCGCCGGAAGACCAAGGGUUCCUGUCCAACGUUAAUCGGGGCAGGGUGAGUCGACCCCUAAGGCGAGGCCGAAAGGCGUAGUCGAUGGGAAACAGGUUAAUAUUCCUGUACUUGGUGUUACUGCGAAGGGGGGACGGAGAAGGCUAUGUUGGCCGGGCGACGGUUGUCCCGGUUUAAGCGUGUAGGCUGGUUUUCCAGGCAAAUCCGGAAAAUCAAGGCUGAGGCGUGAUGACGAGGCACUACGGUGCUGAAGCAACAAAUGCCCUGCUUCCAGGAAAAGCCUCUAAGCAUCAGGUAACAUCAAAUCGUACCCCAAACCGACACAGGUGGUCAGGUAGAGAAUACCAAGGCGCUUGAGAGAACUCGGGUGAAGGAACUAGGCAAAAUGGUGCCGUAACUUCGGGAGAAGGCACGCUGAUAUGUAGGUGAAGUCCCUCGCGGAUGGAGCUGAAAUCAGUCGAAGAUACCAGCUGGCUGCAACUGUUUAUUAAAAACACAGCACUGUGCAAACACGAAAGUGGACGUAUACGGUGUGACGCCUGCCCGGUGCCGGAAGGUUAAUUGAUGGGGUUAGCGCAAGCGAAGCUCUUGAUCGAAGCCCCGGUAAACGGCGGCCGUAACUAUAACGGUCCUAAGGUAGCGAAAUUCCUUGUCGGGUAAGUUCCGACCUGCACGAAUGGCGUAAUGAUGGCCAGGCUGUCUCCACCCGAGACUCAGUGAAAUUGAACUCGCUGUGAAGAUGCAGUGUACCCGCGGCAAGACGGAAAGACCCCGUGAACCUUUACUAUAGCUUGACACUGAACAUUGAGCCUUGAUGUGUAGGAUAGGUGGGAGGCUUUGAAGUGUGGACGCCAGUCUGCAUGGAGCCGACCUUGAAAUACCACCCUUUAAUGUUUGAUGUUCUAACGUGGACCCGUGAUCCGGGUUGCGGACAGUGUCUGGUGGGUAGUUUGACUGGGGCGGUCUCCUCCUAAAGAGUAACGGAGGAGCACGAAGGUUGGCUAAUCCUGGUCGGACAUCAGGAGGUUAGUGCAAUGGCAUAAGCCAGCUUGACUGCGAGCGUGACGGCGCGAGCAGGUGCGAAAGCAGGUCAUAGUGAUCCGGUGGUUCUGAAUGGAAGGGCCAUCGCUCAACGGAUAAAAGGUACUCCGGGGAUAACAGGCUGAUACCGCCCAAGAGUUCAUAUCGACGGCGGUGUUUGGCACCUCGAUGUCGGCUCAUCACAUCCUGGGGCUGAAGUAGGUCCCAAGGGUAUGGCUGUUCGCCAUUUAAAGUGGUACGCGAGCUGGGUUUAGAACGUCGUGAGACAGUUCGGUCCCUAUCUGCCGUGGGCGCUGGAGAACUGAGGGGGGCUGCUCCUAGUACGAGAGGACCGGAGUGGACGCAUCACUGGUGUUCGGGUUGUCAUGCCAAUGGCACUGCCCGGUAGCUAAAUGCGGAAGAGAUAAGUGCUGAAAGCAUCUAAGCACGAAACUUGCCCCGAGAUGAGUUCUCCCUGACCCUUUAAGGGUCCUGAAGGAACGUUGAAGACGACGACGUUGAUAGGCCGGGUGUGUAAGCGCAGCGAUGCGUUGAGCUAACCGGUACUAAUGAACCGUGAGGCUUAACCUU